CGUGAUAGAAAAAAUAGACUUUUUUUAAUGCUAUAGAUUAUUAAAAAUAAAUGUUCAGAGAAUGUUGUGUGUUGGGUAAAAAUAAAGUUAAGAACAUUGUAAGAAAUGUUUUUGUAAUAUUUAACAUGAUCACAAGAAAACAGGACAUUAUAACAGUUUAGAAACAUCAAAACAACCAAAAUGAUAAGUCUGGAAAAGGGUUUUAGAACCUAAAUUUGUCACCAGAGUAGACUAGCCCUAUCCUAAAAGAUCAUUUAGACAUCUUGACAUCUAACCAACAUUUUUUCAUUCUUUACCAGAAACACAAGCUCCAAAUGUCUGCUUUUAAACCCCUCCAGAUGAAUUGCAUGCAAACCUCAUACAUGUUCGGUGCAUUUAAGCAUCAGACCUGCGCUCCACAUUCAUCCAGCUGAACAUAACCUGGAAUCUUUUUCUUAUUGUUUUGCUGCGUGUGUGUGUGUGUGUGUGUGUGUGUGUGUGUGUGGUCUGGCAGACAUGCGUUCAGCUCUGUUUGUCAGGUUUCUAGUUUGCUCGUCGUUGUAAUCGCGUUACACGUGCUGUCGAGUCUUGCAGGAGAUUCACAGCGAGAGAACGUCCUGUUUUGAUUGCGAUUCUCACAAACACUGUUUUCUGUUCCACAUCCAGCUCGCUUAGCUUUCAUAAAACAGGUUAUAGCCCCGGGUCAUGCUGCAAUUCUAACAUAUGAUAAAUAAUAGAGGAGACGAGGAUUGUUUGGCAGCCUGACCCCUCGCGCUGAUGAAACGCUGAUUAUUUUCCUAGGAAAUCUGGCUGAGGCGGAUUUCUCCAGAUGUUUCUCUUCAGAAUAUUCAAGGAUUUGGGUUAAAUAUGGAGAAUUAAGUGCGCCUGUCGAGCAGCGCCGGAGGUUAAACAUCCCUCCGACUGCGGAGAAAAUUUCACAAGUCUGAAACAUAAUCACAGGCCGUGAUAAAGAGAUGAGGAGAGACUGUGUGACCCCGUCAUGUUCAGGCGCUCAGCCAUUAAAGCGUUUUAAAGCACUUCCAAAAGGGAUGGAUUUGGAGGAAAGCAGCCAGGGCAGUGAGGGGGCCGACGCGUGCCUAAAAAUACAGCCGCAUGCCACUCACGAGGUUAGACUGGCUUUGAACAGCUCUGGAUGUCUGUUCUCCUGAUAUCAGGAGUUUAAUGGCUGACAUACUGCUGGCCAUGGAGGUGAACCGCCGCCGAUAAGACUGUGUGUGUGUGUGUGUGUGUGUGUGUGUGUGUGUGUGUGUGUGUGUGUGUGUGUGUGUGUGUGUGAAGACGAGUGAGUGAAUCUCCUGCACUGCAGCUGUUAUGUGUCUGAUAGACGCCGAUUAUCACAGAUGAUUAUGUUUCUCCGUCAGUUUGUAAAAAUAAAACCACACUUAAGAUUAAUGUGUUGGGUUAAAAGCAGAAAAGCUCUUAUUUUUGUGCUUUUAUUUGUGACUAGUGCUAUUUCUGUAUAUUAUACUAUUAUAGUUUCAGUUAAUAUUUUGAAUUAGAUUUUCUUUUUAUAUUUUUUUUAUUAGUUUUUUUUUACUUUAAUUUUAGGUAAUUUUAUAGUAU
ensembl:lncRNA